GAUGAACGCUGGCGGCGUGCCUAAUACAUGCAAGUCGAGCGAACCACUUCGGUGGUGAGCGGCGAACGGGUGAGUAACACGUAGGUGAUCUGCCCAUCAGACGGGGACAACGAUUGGAAACGAUCGCUAAUACCGGAUAGGACGAAAGUUUAAAGGUGCUUCUGGCACCGCUGAUGGAUGAGCCUGCGGCGCAUUAGCUAGUUGGUAGGGUAAAGGCCUACCAAGGCGACGAUGCGUAGCAGACCUGAGAGGGUGAACGGCCACACUGGGACUGAGACACGGCCCAGACUACUACGGGAGGCAGCAGUAGGGAAUCUUCGGCAAUGGGCGAAAGCCUGACCGAGCAACGCCGCGUGAAUGAUGAAGGCCUUCGGGUUGUAAAAUUCUGUUAUAAGGGAAGAACGACUUUAGUAGGAAAUGGCUAGAGUGUGACGGUACCUUAUGAGAAAGCCACGGCUAACUACGUGCCAGCCGCCGCGGUAAAAC
rnacentral:rRNA from 1 species